rnacentral:rRNA from 1 species
GUGGGGAAUCUUCCGCAAUGGACGAAAGUCUGACGGAGCGACGCCGCGUGAGUGAUGAAGGCCUUCGGGUCGUAAAGCUCUGUCAUCGGGGACGAAUGGUCGUUGGAGUGGAAAGCCAGCGAAAUGACGGUACCCGAGAAGGAAGCCACGGCUAACUACGUGCCAGCAGCCGCGGUAAUACGUAGGUGGCAAGCGUUGUCCGGAAUUAUUGGGCGUAAAGCGCGCGCAGGUGGGAUCUUAAGUCCAUUUUGAAAGUUCGGAGCUCAACUCCGUGAUGGGAUGGAAACUGGGAUUCUUGAGUACCGGAGAGGAAAGCGGAAUUCCCCGUGUAGCGGUGAAAUGCGUAGAUAUGGGGAGGAACACCAGUGGCGAAGGCGGCUUUCUGGACGGUGUCUGACACUGAGGCGCGAAAGCCAGGGGAGCGAACGGGAUUAGAUACCCCUGUAGUCC